UAGUAUUGUGGCCAGCAGCCGCGGUAAUACGGAAGGUCCGGGCGUUAUCCGGAUUUAUUGGGUUUAAAGGGAGCGUAGGCCGGAGAUUAAGCGUGUUGUGAAAUGUAGACGCUCAACGUCUGCACUGCAGCGCGAACUGGUUUCCUUGAGUACGCACAAAGUGGGCGGAAUUCGUGGUGUAGCGGUGAAAUGCUUAGAUAUCACGAAGAACUCCGAUUGCGAAGGCAGCUCACUGGAGCGCAACUGACGCUGAAGCUCGAAAGUGCGGGUAUCGAACAGG
rnacentral:rRNA from 1 species